rnacentral:rRNA from 1 species
UGUAGCAAUACAGUGGUGGGGGGAAGUGGCGAAAGGGGCAGUAAUGCGUGGGUAACCUACCCUCGGGACGGGGAUAGCCUUUCUAACGAAAGGGUAAUACCCGGAGACGUAGCUGCGGGGCAUCUCGUGGCUACCAAAGGAUCCGUCGCCCGGGGAGGGGCUCACGUGCUAUUACCUAGUUGGCGGGGUAACGGCCCACCAAGGGGAAGAUGGCUAGCGGGUGUGAGAGCACGACCCGCGCCACUGGCACUGAGACACUGGCCAGACUCCUACGGGAGGCUGCAGUCGAGGAUCUUCGGCAAUGAGCGCAAGCUUGACCGAGCGACGCCGCGUGUGCGAUGAAGGCCUUCGGGUUGUAAAGCACUGUCGAGGGGGAGGAAAGCCGCAAGGCCUGACCUAUCCCUGGAGGAAGCACGGGCUAAGUUCGUGCCAGCAGCCGCGGUAAGACGAACCGUGCGAACGUUGUUCGGAAUCACUGGGCUUAAAGGGCGCGUAGGCGGGCUGUUUAGUCGGGGGUGAAAUCGUUCGGCCCAACCGGACAAGGGCCUCCGAUACUGGCAGUCUCGAGGGAGGUAGGGGUUGGUGGAACUUCCGGUGGAGCGGUGAAAUGCGUAGAUAUCGGAAGGAACGCCGGUGGCGAAAGCGGCCAACUGGACCUCUUCUGACGCUGAUGCGCGAAAGCUAGGGGAGCGAACGGGAUUAGAUACCCCGGUAGUCCUAGCCCUAAACGAUGGGUACCAGAUUGUGGACCAGACAUGGGUUCACAGUCGAGGCAAAAGUGUUAAGUACCCCGCCUGGGGAGUAUGGUCGCAAGGCUGAAACUCAAAGGAAUUGACGGGGGCUCACACAAGCGGUGGAGCAUGUGGCUUAAUUCGAGGCUACGCGAAGAACCUUAUCCUGGACUUGACAUGUGCGAAAGCGUCAGCAAGUAGGGGGCGGAAACGUUCCCCCAACGGUAUCCAGUCCGGAAGCUGAUACAGGUGCUGCAUGGCUGUCGUCAGCUCGUGUCGUGAGAUGUCGGGUUAAGUCCCAUAACGAGCGAAACCCCUGUUUCCAGUUGCCAGCGAGUAAUGUCGGUGACUCUGGAAAGACUGCCGGUGUUAAACCGGAGGAAGGUGGGGAUGACGUCAAGUCCUCAUGGCCCUUACGGGUAGGGCUUCACACGUCAUACAAUGGUACAUACAGAGGGCUGCCAACCCGCGAGGGGGAGCUAAUCCC